UCACGAAGUAUAAGCUCAGGAUAUCUGCCU
rnacentral:piRNA from 1 species